CAUUUAGAAUUUUUUCAGGUUCGGUCUCUUUCAAUGGAGUUCAUCGGUUGAUCAGCGAGCUGAAUCAGGCUUCCAGAAAUUACUUCAAGUGAAGUAUCGAAUUAAUUCUUCUCCGACAAGGCGAUUAUGUCAUUGGUUUUUUUGUUUUUAGUAAGUAAUUCGUCUUCCAAGUGGAAUCCAUUCUAGGCAACAGAUCUGGUCUGCGUUUGAUAGCAAUCUGUCGACGUUUCUGACAAAUACAUCUGCUCUGUAUUUGCUAAUGUUCUGUUGACAGUUUUGAUAACAGAUAUGCUCUGUAUUUGGCGAUAUUUUAGCGCCAACAGACGAUUACCAAACCUGUUCCAGGUUUGAUGCCUCACUUCGGCUUCGCUUUGCUAGUGGCAGAUCUGUUAUGAUUUUGGUCUCGUUUUAAAAUAUCUAUAGGUUGAACAGAUUUAAUCGUCAAACUAUAUCCUACUGAGGAUACAGUAGGCUAUAGUUUUGGCAUUAGAUUCCGCCAACGAUUUUUGACAAAUCCACGACAUCCCACAACUUGUUUGCAACAAAUUGUUUGCUAGAUUAUUCAGAGACGAAUACUUACAUUAUAUUUAUUAUAUAUAAAACUUAAAAGACGUGAUAAAAAAAACUUAAACGUCAAUACUGGGUACGAUCAAUUUUCUCAGAAGAAAGAAGAUUAAUGCAAGGAGCAAACAACAAUUUAGUUCGUGAAAUGGAAAUUAUAUAGAUAAAGAAAAAUAUUUUAAUUAUUUUCGGAUGCCAAUAGAAAUAUUUGAAAAACUGCUAAGCAUUAUUGAGCUACAUAUUACAAAAAAAAACUAUUGUCCGCACACCACUCUGCACGCACUCGUUUGCAAGUGACCUUGCGAUAUCUAGCUUCUAGAGACAGAUGAUUUCUAUAUCGUAUGCUUUUCGUAUUGCGCACAAUACUAUUUCCAAAAUUGUCUCAGAAACGUACGGUGCUAUCUGAAAUGCUCUUAAAACCAAAGUAUUUUUACAACUGAAUACAACUAAUUGGCAAAAUAUCGCAGAAAAUUUUGAAAAUAUUUGGCAAUUUAAUAACUGCAUUGGAGCCAUUGAUGGGAAGCAUGCCGUCAUACAGGCAUCACCAAAUAAUGGUUUCAUAUAUUAUAAUUAUAAAGGACGACACAGUCUCAUUUUUCUUGGAAUAAGCGAUGCUAACUGUUGUUUUAUUGUGGAUAUCGGUGGGGAAGGAAGACAAUAUGAUAAUACAAUAUUUCAAAAUAGUGACCCAG